GGGGCUGAUUCUGGAUUCGACGGGAUUUGCGAAACCCAAGGUGACCCAAGGUGCAUGCCGAGGGGCGGUUUGCCUCGUUAAAAGCCGCAAAAAAAUAGUCGCAAACGACGAAAACUACGCUUUAGCAGCUUAAUAACCUGCUAAGAGCCCUCUCUCCCUAGCUUCCGCUCUUAAGACGGGGAUCAAAGAGAGGUCAAACCCAAAAGAGAUCGCGUGGAAACCCUGCCUGGGGUUGAAGCGUUAAAACUAAUCAGGCUAGGUCCGCAGCUGGCGUGCGAAUGUAAAGACAAACUAAGCAUGUAGUACCGAGGAUGUAGAAAUUUCGGACGCGGGUUCAACUCCCGCCAGCUCCACCA
rnacentral:tmRNA from 1 species